GCCGGGUACGGUGGCACAUGCCUGUAAUCUCAGCAGCUUGGGAGGCUGAGGUAGGAGGAUCACAAGUUCAAAGCCAACCUCAGCAAAAGCAAGACAUAAGAAAUUCAGUGAGACCCUGUCUCUA
rnacentral:sRNA from 1 species